rnacentral:rRNA from 1 species
UACGUAGGGGGCAAGCGUUGUCCGGAAUUAUUGGGCGUAAAGCGCGCGCAGGCGGCCUCCUAAGUCCGAUGUGAAAGCCCACGGCUCAACCGUGGAGGGUCAUUGGAAACUGGGGGACUUGAGUGCAGGAGAGAAGAGUGGAAUUCCACGUGUAGCGGUGAAAUGCGUAGAGAUGUGGAGGAACACCAGUGGCGAAGGCGACUCUGUGGCCUGUAACUGACGCUGAGGCGCGAAAGCGUGGGGAGCAAACAGG